UACGGGGGGAGCAAGCGUUGUUCGGAAUUACUGGGCGUAAAGCGUGUGUAGGCGGCCAUGUAAGUCGGAUGUGAAAGCCCCAGGCUCAACCUGGGAAGUGCACUCGAUACUGCGUGGCUUGAGUAUCGGAGAGGUUGGUGGAAUUCUCGGUGUAGAGGUGAAAUUCGUAGAUAUCGAGAGGAACACCGGUGGCGAAGGCGGCCAACUGGACGAAUACUGACGCUGAGACACGAAAGCGUGGGGAGCAAACAGG
rnacentral:rRNA from 1 species